UGAGUAGAACUGUUCAAAUAAGUGAAUAAAGUCCUUUUUAUUAAAAUCUACCACUACAAUAGAAUUAGGUUAUAGGGACAUAUGUUUAGGACACUUUUGUAUAAGUGUCUCAUUUAUGUCAAAAUUUUUUAAAAAAUAUACUAAUGCCUAAAUAUAAAGUCCAAUCCAACAAAAAAUAAAAGGUUACUCUACUCAACCCACCCCACCCAGCCCGUUUGGCCCGAUUACAAACAGCAAAGAAAAAAAAAAAGAAAAAUCGAUUACCAUCUUUCUUUCUCCCCUUACUCAAUCCAUUUAAAUUCUAGACGAAAAGCCCUUCCCUCUCCUCCACCGCCACCGCAGCAAUGAGGUAGAGUUCCGGCGGUUGCUAAAUGUUUAAAUAAGUGUUGGUAAAUUAGCAACACUCUUUUUAGCUUAUAGCGACACUCUUUAACUGUCACUAUAUACCUAGCAACCCCACAUAUAGCAAUACUUUUUAAAAGUGUCGGUAAUUUAGCCAGCAAUAUUUUUUUUGACCUGUACCGAUAUUUAAAAGUGUCGUCAUAGACCGUUUUGUUGUAGUAUAAGUUGUUACUACGUUAAACAUUUAGGUUGCAUUGUACUAAUUAGAGCUUUUUUUUUUUAUUAGCAAGAAAGAUAUAAACUCACUUCACUUUUUAGGACAAUUAUGUGCAUUGAACUAUGUCCAUGGUGGUUACAAUCACAUGUUGAUGACAUGCAUAGUUUGACUCAUUGCUUAGUGCAAGUAAUAUUAAUUUAUCACAUGUUAAUAAUGCAUGCAACUAAUAUAAACCUAAUAUUUCGUAUCACCAAAUUUUACUCCUAAAUCAUACUGAUCGUUCCUAUCACAAGUGACAAAAAACUCGAUGACUGGUAACCGAGUUUUCAAAUUUGAAACCUAAUUCUUUAUAUUUUUCGUUAAAUUCAUUUCUAAAUAAAUGAUCAAAACAGCUAAUAUGGUACCACUCUCUCUCUAUCUCACAAAAAGAAACAAAAAUAAUUGUAGAACCAU
rnacentral:lncRNA from 1 species